rnacentral:rRNA from 1 species
UGAGGAAUAUUGGGCAAUGCCCGCAAGGGUGACCCAGCAACGCCGCGUGGAGGAUGAAUGUCGUAAGAUUGUAAACUCCUGUUAGAGGGGAAGAAUAGUACCGGUUGGACCGGUAUAUGACUGUACCCUCAGAGAAAGCCCCGGCUAACUACGUGCCAGCAGCCGCGGUAAUACGUAGGGGGCAAGCGUUGUCCGGAUUUACUGGGUGUAAAGGGCGCGCAGGCGGGAUAAAAAGUCAGUGGUGAAAUCCUACAGCUUAACUGUAGAACUGCCUUUGAUACUUUUAUUCUUGAGUUCGGGAGAGAGAGACGGAAUUCCAAGUGUAGUGGUGAAAUACGUAGAUAUCUGGAAGAACACCAGUUGCGAAGGCGGUCUCUUGGUCCGACACUGACGCUGAGGCGCGAAAGCGUGGGGAGCAAACA